CUCGGAAGGAAUGGGGGGCGCAGGGCAGUGGGGUUGGGAGAGCUGACAGCAUGUUCUGACCCUGAACCACACGAGGCCAGACUCGCCUAAUUAACUGUACUAAUUGCAUAGAGGGAGCUUUAAGCAAAGAGACAGACCCAAAACACUAUGGAAUCAAAGAACAUCCAAGUUUAGAAUCCCCUAGUCUGACUCCCUCCACCUGCAAUAAAAAUCAAAACCUCUCAGCACCAAGACUUGUUUUGCUUCAGCUCCCCACAGAGCUCUGCACAAGACCAGGUACAAGGGAAAGGCUAUGCUUUGAUUAUUUUAAUCCAUAUCUCUUGUUUUCCUUACCCAGCAUCUAUUGCUCCUUUUCCAUCUCAGGAAACAACCCGCCCAGUUUGGUGGGCCUGUCAAUCAAGGCAACCCUCCUCCCCCUGCCCAGGAGGUGGGCACUCAGCCCAGGCCAAGCCAAUCAGAUGCUUUCUUCCCUGAACAGAGGCAGAGUGGAUUCCCCCAACAAGCCUGUCCAUGGGCUCAAAUGUCAUCCACAUCCCUGGAGCUGAAAUAGUCUUUAACUUUGUGGAGACCUGUUCUGCACUUUUUUCCGCUUGAGAGCUCCCCAAUACAAUCCUUUCUGAUUUAAGGAUGCCAGAGUUCUGUGUCUAUUGUUUGUACCCAAAGAACCCAAACUUUCCUACUUGGCAUCAAGAAAAAACUCAGAUAAAAACAACGAAAAUAAUUAGCAUUGACCUGGUUGCUAUGAAUAAGUUAUUUUCACAUCCACUGUCUCUUCUGCACUUAGAGCAAACCAGCAGCUCAGGGAGGUUCAGUGCCUUGCCCUAGCCCACACAGCUAGCAGGUGACUAAAAAUAUGGCCUCAAACCAGCUCGUGAGCUUCCUGGACGAGAGCUCUGUAGUCCAGAUGGGAACCUCGGUUGCAUCAGUCCUCCCCACCCCAGCCAGUCCUUUGUGGGCGUUGAAGUUUUCCCUACUUGCAGGUUAUGUGGAACUAUUUUACAGAUUCCUCAGGGGCAGGAAGAAGCCCUGUCUCCUGCCCCUCCUUUUCAGAGUCAGGCCUCCACCGGAAUCUGUGUCCAGGCCCCAAGCAAGUUCUCCAUGCUAGAGCCGCUCAUGGAAAGUGGAGUCAGCAAAUAAGCAAACCUCAGGCCUUGGCAAGAUUCAUGUCGGAAACAUCUAUUUGAAGUCCUCGGGGCUCAGUGGUAAAGAAUGCGGACAAAAGCUUACAUUCUAAUGAAAAAGAUAUUUUACAGACGAAUAUACAACAUAAUAACACAUUAUAUAUACAAUACACAGUUCUAUGCAUUUAUAUACAGAGUUGACCCUUGAACAACAUGGGUUUGAACAGCACAGGGCCACUUAGACACAGAUAUUUUUCCUUUCUUUUUUUUUUUUUUUUUUUUUUUGUCUUCUUGCCUUUUCUAGGGCUGCUCCCAUGGCAUAUGGAGGUUCCCAGGCUAGGGGUCCAAUCAGAGCUGUAGCCACCAGCCUAUGCCAGAGACAUAGCAAUGCGGGAUCCAAGCCGCAUCUGCAACCUACACCACAGCUCACGGCAACACCGGAUCCUUAACCCACUGAGCAAGGCCAGGGAUCAAACCCGCAAUCUCAUGGUUCCUAGUCAGAUUUGUUAACCACUGCGCCACAAUGGGAACUCCCACAGAUAUUUUGCAAUAAAUACAAUUGGCCCUUUGUAUCGGCUGACGCCAAAUCUGCAGAUUUGGAGGGCCAACUGUGGGAUUUGAGCAUCUGCAGUUUGGUGUCUGCAACUGGUCCUGGAACCAAUCCCCAGUGGAGACCUAGGGCAGACUAUAAUAUAACACCAGGUAAUGAUAAAUGCAAUGAAGAGAUACAAAACAGAACAAAGAGCUGGAAGUGGAGUUUUACAAAGACAGGGGUGGGGGAGUACAUUUUAACAGAGAUUGGAAUGAGCACAAAGCAAAUUAGGCGACCAUCUGAGGAAGAGCAUGCAAACCAAGCAAGAAAAGUGCAGAAGGGGCUUCUGAGUCGUGCAGGGAACUUCCCAGAGGCCAGUCUGUGCCCAGGUGGCAACAGGGAUUGAGGGUAGGGAACAGGCAGAGCCACAUGAGGCAGGACAAGCAGGGUCCCAGUAAGGACUUCAUAUUCAGUCCCAAGUGUGCUCAGGAGCUACAAGAGGGUUAGGGGGUUGGAUGGAGGGAAAGAGAAGAGCAUCAUCUUUUUUUUUUUUUUUUUUAAUUGUCUUUUAGGGCCACACCAGCAGCAUAUAGAAGUUCCCAGGCUAGGGGUAAAAUUGGAGCUGCAGCCACCAGCCAAUGCCAUAGCCACAGCAAUGCCAGAUCUGAGCCACAUCCUCCACCUACGUACGCCACAGCUUUCACCAACACCAGAUCCUUAACCCACUGAGUGAGGCCAGGGAUCGAACCCACAUCCUCAUGGAUGCUAGUCAGGUUCUUAAUCUGCUGAGCCACAAUGGGAACUUCAGCAUGAUCUAUUAUUAAGUCAUUCUAGCUAGUGGAAACAGCAUGAUGGAGAAACAAAACGUGGUAUAUCCACACAAUGAAACAUUGUUUGGCAUAAACAGGAAUAAGUACUGCUAUGUGCCAGAUACACAAAAAAAAACACAUACUGUAUGUUUUCAUCUAUCAGAAAGAUUCAGAAGAGGCAAGUCCGUAGAGACAGAAAGCAGAUCAGUGGUUGCCAGGGUCGGGGGGAAAAUGGGAUGGGGAGUGAGUGAUAACAGGCAUGUAGGGUUUCCUUUCCGGGGUGAUGAAAAUGUUCUGGAACAACACAGCAACGACAGUCACACAACACUGUCAGCAUUCUAAAUGCCAGUAACUUAGACACUUUAAAAUGAUUAAAGUGGUGAUGUUCAUGUUCUGUGUAUUUAAAUACUUUAAACAAUUUAAAAAUAAAGGGUUGGAGUUCCCGUUGAGAUGCAGCGGAAAUGAAUCUGAUUAGCAUCCACGAGGAUGUAGGUUUGAUUCCUGGCCUCGCUCAGUGGGUUAAGGAUCCGGCGUUGCCAUGAGCUGCGGUGUAGGUCACAGAUGUGGCUCAGAUCUGGUGUUGCUGUGGCUCUGGUGUAAGCCAACAGCAACAGCUCCAAUUAGAUCCCUGGCCUGGAAACCUCCAUAUGCCAUGGGUACAGCCCUAAAAAAAAGACAAAUAAAUAAAUAAAUAAGGAUUCUGACUUACAUAUGCAGAGAAGAGAUAGGGAAAGAAGGAAACAAAAACCAAGAGGAACGCUCAUCCAGUUCUGCCUCUGCUCUGGCACUUUCCUUCCCUUCGCCAAGCCUCAAAUCCUGCACCCAUGAAAAUAGGGGCCCACCUCUUGGGCUUGGUAAGAGGACUGGAACACUUCUGAAGUGACCCAGGGCUCCGUCCAUGGAUCUUUCCUCUUUCUGACUCAGACUCACUCCCCUGGAGAUCUCAUCCAGGCUCACGGCUUUGAUUUCCACCUCCCAACUUAACUCCAGCCCAGUCUCACCUGAACUCCGUCCGACCCGGCGUUUCCACUGAGUUUCUAGCUGGCACCUCCAACUUAACGCGGCCAGGAUAAACUGCUGGUCUCUGCCCCUCCCCUAAUGUUCAGCCUUGCUCCCUAUCUCUGUAAACAAAGACUCCAGCCUUCCAGAGGGAGGGCAAAUAACCAGGAGUCCUUGACUUACCUCUCUUGAUCUCAUCCCCAUCAGUAAAUGCGGCCGAUGCUGCUUUCAAAAUACAUCCAGAAUCCGACCCCUUCUGGUCCAGGCCACCACCACCUCUAGCCUGGAUUACUGCAAUAGCCUCCCGGCUCUCUCAGAUUCUGCCGUUGGCCCUCCAGUCUGUUUUCAACAUGGCAGCUCAAGAGAUCCUGUCCAAAUAUAAGUGACAGUGUGUCCAUCCUCUGCUGAACCAAAAAACUUCCCACUGAAGACCCUUGUUCCUUUUACCCGCUCUCCCACAUGCCCAUAUAACACACACCCUUACCUCCCCCCUGUCUACACAGAGAGCGCUUCUCAGCAAAGUCUCUGCUGGCCACCUAUUUAGGGUUGUCAGAUAAAGUACAGAAUUCCCAGUUAAAUGUGCAUACUCAGAUAAACCAGGAGUGACUUUUUCGUAUAUGAAUGUCUCAUGCAAUAGCUGGGACAUUUUUACACAGGGCAGGCUUAUACUUUAAAAUGUUCUGUUACUAGAUGACUAGCUAAAGAAGAAUAUGAUAGAUAGACAGGUAGGUAGAGAUAUAAUACUACUCAGCCAUAAAAAAAAAAAAGAAUGAAAUUUUGCCAUUUACGACAACAUGGGUAGAUUUGGAGGGUAUUAGGCUUAGUGAAAUAAGUCAGACAGACAGAGAAAGACAAAUACUCUAUGUCAUCACUUCUAUGUGGAAUCUAAAAAAUAAACCAGUGAGUACAACAAAACAGAAACAGACUCACAGAGAGAACAAAUUAGUGGUUACCAGUGGGGAAAGGGAAGGGAGAGGGGCAAUAUAGGGUUAGGGGAUUAAAACAGUUAAAAACCACUACGCGUAAAAUAAGCUACAAGGCUGUAUUACACACCACAGGGAUUAUGGCCAUUACUUUAUAAUAACAUUAAAUGAAGUAUUAUCUAUAAAAAUACUGAAUUAAUAUGUUGUACACCUGAAACUAAUACUGUAAAUCAACUAUACUUCAAAAA
rnacentral:lncRNA from 1 species